CGCCCAAUGCCACGUUGCCAGUUGCAGAGAUAAUGGAUUGCAUUGACCGGCGAUGCUAUGAUUGGGCACGCAGAGCAAAUAUUAGUUUCACAUGUUUAUAGGAACCAUUGGGUCUCUAGUUUUUUCCAUGGAGCCGUUUGCUGUGAUUACACCU